UAUGACAAUGGCUCCAGUGUUUGAGACGUUGGUGGGGUAGUGCUGCCACAGAGCCCGGGUCUGUAGGAGGACGCAUUCAUGGGGUGGCUGUGUCUUUAUGGUCAGAGUAUUUCUGGGAUUGAGAGAGGUGAUAGCUCUGUUCCUGAAGUGGCUCAACAGAGGGUGCUUUUUGGGUGGGGGAUGGGAGUGCAGCUGUGUUUCCCUUUCUCGGAUUCCCCAGUGAGAAUGGCUGUUUGUUACUUCAGGGGCAAAAGAUGCCAGUGUUCACUGAAAAGCAGGCCACUGCAUUCACAGUGAUUACUGAUAUAUUUGGAUUUAUUCCCAUUCUCUUAUUUUACACUUUCCAUUUGUCUAGCUUUAAAUUUCUUUUUCCUUUGAAUCAAGUGUGUCCUAGUUUCAUUCUUGCAGAAGAGCCCAGCAUAUAAACAAACAAGUAUUUAUUGCACUUUGCAGAAAGAAUUAGGGCUAAUUAGUUAUUCCUGUACCUAGUGUUGGGAGCCCAGGACAAGGUGUUAAUUCUGACAGCAGGGGAUAUGGAAGUGAUGUUGAGGGAUGAGCAUGGUGUUGAUAAACAAGGAAAGGAGCUAGAUUUAUCUUUGCGGGCAACCAAUACAAAACAGGAAGCAACAUUCUUCAAUUGUUUUCAUACAUAGUUUUGUCUGUAGGUUAGUACGCAUAGAUAAUAUGUGUGUGUGUGCAUAUAUGUGUGUCUGUGUCUGUGUAUGU
rnacentral:lncRNA from 10 species